rnacentral:rRNA from 1 species
AGCUCCAAGAGCGUAUAUUAAAGUUGUUGCAGUUAAAAAGCUCGUAGUUGGAUUUCUGGUUCAAUGCGCCUGGCCCGCGGCAGUAAUGCCUGUGAGUGCCGGAGCGCGUUAACCAUCCUUCAAGAAAACGUUUCUACCCUUAACUGGGCCGGAUUCGCGAUCUUGAUCUUUUACUUUGAAAAAAUUAGAGUGUUCAAAGCAGGCUUUUGCUAUGAAUACAUUAGCAUGGAAUAAUAAUCUAGGACUUCGGUUCUAUUUUGUUGGUUUCUAGAAUUGAAGUAAUGAUUGAUAGGGAUAGUUGGGGGUGCUAGUAUUGGCCGGCCAGAGGUGAAAUUCUUGGAUUCGGUCAAGACUAACUUAUGCGAAAGCAUUCACCAAGGAUGUCUUCUUUAAUCAAGAA